UGGGGGCUUGUUUCCUAGGAAGGAGAUGCCCCCACCCCCCCGGGGGUGGGGAGAAGGCUGUGUUGGGUGGUCCCUCUGAGCAGUCGUUGAACUCUCUAUGUAGUUGAAGAUGCCCUCAAACUCACGAUCCUCCUGCCUCCAAGUCUUAAGUUCUAGAAUGACAGUAGCUACUCUGCACUAGAAAAACACCCUUGUUACCACACCGGAAGCAACCCCCUGCCUGCGAACCUGCUGUGAGAGUCUCUGCUCCCUUUUCUUUCAUGCAUUGGUUAAGGUGGUACGGAUAAGAGCUAAAAACCACAUAGGAAAGUGGCCUCGCAGGGCUCUCCAGGACCUACCCACCUUGCUGAGGACCAGCAGCCGCUGCUUCUCUUUCUCAUUGGUGGCCAGGGAGGCGAACUGCUGCAGCUGCAGGGGCGUGGGCGGUGUGGUGAUGUCCAGCAUUUCCACCUUCACCACAUGGUUGGCAGGCGGCGCGUCCUCCAGCCGUUCAAUGAGUGCAUUCACGAGAUCCUCAUGGUUGCCAGGGAAGACACCCAGGUGGUCCCCUGGCUGGUAUUGCAGCUCCUGAUUCCCGUUGGUGUGGAGACGCACGAAGAUGGUCGAUCGGCUGCAGGAAACGGGGGGGGGGGUGUCGUGGGACAAAGACCAGCACUCUGUCUCCCCUUUGCCCCUGGUCUGUCUCUCUAGUUUGCAGAGCUCUCCUUCCAUGCUCCCUGGCUCUGGUCGGCUGAGAUGCAUGCCCAGCACCCCCCCCCCCCCCAUAGCUUCUGCCAAGCUCCUCCAGUCAGCUCUCCAUCAUCGAACCAACUGCCAGGUCCUGGGUCAGGGACAUCACACUUGUGAUGGCUCACCUCCUUUCUUGGGGCUGGUCCCCAAGUUCUCAUGGCCUCUCUGGUGUUCCCAGCUCAGUCUUCCAUGCUAGUCCCUUCUCAUCUACCAAGUCCCGAUCCCAGCCACAACCUGCUGAGAUGUAUCCAUCCCCCAUAUCUUUCUGCCUCUUCUUCACUUUCUUCCAUUACAGAAUCCUUUACUUUCUUACUUCUGUGGCUAGUGAUGUAUUCUAGGAUAAUAGGAACACGGUGACGCAGGGCAUUUAUCUAGUAUGGCUGUGGCUUUAUCCCCAUUGAUAGUGGCUGGCACAUAGUAUGUCCCGAGUCCUUGCUGAAGGAAGGCACUUCUGGGUUCCCAGGUAACUAGUUGUUAGCUGCCAUGUCCUUUGUAUCCAUCAGGAUUCUCUCAGGAACCAGCCACUCACUGUAGCUAUAGGUGGAGUGCCUCUGAUUUAUAAAGCUCUACUUAUCACUUCUCAU
rnacentral:lncRNA from 1 species